AAUGAACGCUGGCGGCGUGCCUAACACAUGCAAGUCGAACGAGAAAUUUCCGGCUUCGGCGGAGAGAGUAAAGUGGCGCACGGGUGAGUAACGCGUGGGUAACCUGCCCUCGAAUCCGGGAUAACUUCGCGAAAGCGUUGCUAAUACCGGAUAUUGUCCUUUAAGCUACGGCUUUUUGGAUAAAGAUGACCUCUUCAUGAAAGUUGUCGUUUGGGGAUGGGCCCGCGUACCAUUAGCUUGUUGGUAGGGUAAUGGCCUACCAAGGCUACGAUGGUUAGCUGGUCUGAGAGGAUGAUCAGCCACACUGGAACUGAACACGGUCCAGACUCCUACGGGAGGCAGCAGUGAGGAAUUUUGCGCAAUGGGGGAAACCCUGACGCAGCAACGCCGUGUGAGUGAAGAAGGCUUUCGGGUCGUAAAGCUCUGUCAAGUGGGAAAAAACACUUCCGAUUAAUAGUCGAGAAGGAUUGAUGGUACCACUGGAGGAAGCACCGGCUAACUCCGUG
rnacentral:rRNA from 1 species